CCUACGGGAGGCUGCAGUGGGGAAUAUUGGACAAUGGGCGAAAGCCUGAUCCAGCCAUGCCGCGUGUGUGAAGAAGGCCUUCGGGUUGUAAAGCACUUUCAGUGGGGAAGAAAGCCUUGGGGCUAAUACCCUCGAGGAAGGACAUCACCCACAGAAGAAGCACCGGCUAACUCCGUGCCAGCAGCCGCGGUAAUACGGAGGGUGCGAGCGUUAAUCGGAAUUACUGGGCGUAAAGCGCGCGUAGGCGGUCUGAUAAGCCGGUUGUGAAAGCCCCGGGCUCAACCUGGGAACGGCAUCCGGAACUGUCAGGCUAGAGUGCAGGAGAGGAAGGUAGAAUUCCCGGUGUAGCGGUGAAAUGCGUAGAGAUCGGGAGGAAUACCAGUGGCGAAGGCGGCCUUCUGACUGACACUGACGCUGAGGUGCGAAAGCGUGGGUAGCAAACAGGAUUAGAUACCCCAGUAGUC
rnacentral:rRNA from 1 species